GACGGAUAUGUUCUGGUUGGCGAUCUGCACCGUGACGUCCCGGAAAGCCAUCAUGAGGGUCCCGCUGUGGGCCGGGGGCAGGCCGGGGGUCUCCGCGGCGUCAUCCCCGGGCCCGGGGCCCGCGCUCUCCGGCGCCCGCCCCUCGGCCUCCAGGCCUGGGGGCCCCGCGGCCGCCUGCAGGGCCUGGUGGAGCUGGUAAGCGCCACUCUCCCGCAGGGAGCACAUGGUCUUGAGGCUCCACGUGCUGAGCGCGUCGUCGAUGGACUUGGCCAGGGAUUGCACCUGCUCGGUGAAGGAGUCCUCCAGCUCGGCUCUCGGCCGUGGGUGACCGCACCUUGCGCAGGGAGAUCCGCCGUGGCAGGCGGCUCUCCAGAAGCGAGUUGCGGAUUUUCUCGAAGUUCUUGCUGAGCUGGUAUUGGCGGAAGGCGGUUUGGAUGGUGCAAGCGGCGCGCCGGGACACCAGUUCAUGUCAGAGAUGCAUACAGAAGUACUUAUGGGUAAAAUGCAUGAUAUCUUGAAGUUGUGUUAAAAUAUUCUGUCAAAAAAUGUGGAAGAGUUAGAUGACACAAUAUUAAUGUUAAUAAAUAUUAAUAAAAUGGUUACAGCUGGAUGAUAGCUACGGGGGAGUUUAUAACACUGUCGUUUCUACUUUUGUGCACACUUUAAAACAAUAAACAAUG
rnacentral:lncRNA from 1 species